rnacentral:rRNA from 1 species
AACUCAUAGCGGUGGAUCACUCGGCUCGUGCGUUGAUGAAGAACGCAGCUAGCUGCGAGAACUAAUGUGAUUUGCAGGACACAUUGAUCUGACCCGCACAUCUGAGAAACACUGGCACCAUUUUGUUCCUCUUACUGAUGGGGAAGCU